ensembl:snoRNA LOC120094494 small nucleolar RNA SNORA17
ACUACCUAGUGGCAAUGCAAAUAUGGCUGCUGUGUCACAUCCGAGUCAGUAGGUGGCAGAAUGGAGAGAGGCUAUGUCUAUGCUCAGUGUUCUGACUUUUAUGAACAUCUGAAUUAUUAAUAGCCUAACAUU